UAUAAAAAUUUAAUAAGAGUUCAUAUAAUAGUGGAGAUAUGGUCCGCAAGUUUCUACCAGGUCGCCGUAAAUGAUCUGACUAUGAGCGAAAGUGUACCUAGG
rfam:Desulfosporosinus orientis DSM 765, complete genome.